UAAAUUAAUAAAAACUCAAUAGCAUCACUGGUCAGCAAAACACACUGAAGACAGUGUGUAGAUUGUCUACAUAUAGAUCAGAAAGGUAGCAACACUGCUACCUCGAUCGAAACUGGAGAAAUACCAGUGAUCUUCCAUACGUAUAUCACUUCAGACAUAUGAAGAACACCAGGCAGAAGAAAUGUACUUCCCUGUUACCCCAAUUUUUCCUAUUAAAUAAGGCAAUAAUAUAAAGCACAGCAUCACAGCAACAUAAUAAAAUCUCUAGGUAGCUAGAGAUCUGU